rnacentral:rRNA from 1 species
GCUGGCGGCGUGCCUAAGACAUGCAAGUCGAGUGGGUUUAGGCCCACGGCGAACGGGUGAGUAAUACCUAGGAAUGUAUCUUUAGUUGAGCAUAUCCCACCGAAAGGUGGAGCAAUUCUCAAUGUGACCGCAAGGUCAAAGUCGCAAGACGCUAAAGAAGCAGCCUGGGCACCAUCAGCUAGUUGGUAAGGUAAAGGCUUACCAAGGCUAUGACGGUUAGGGGCCCCGAGAGGGGAAACCUCCACACUGGAACUGCGACACGGUCCAGACUCCUACGGGAGGCAGCAGUUUGGAAUUUUGGACAAUGGGCGAAAGCCUGAUCCAGCGACGCCGCGUGGACGAUGAAGGUCUUCGGAUCGUAAAGUCCUUUUGCAAGGGAACAAUUUUUGAGCGUACCUUGCGAAUAAGAGGUUGCUAACUCUGUGCCAGCAGCAGCGGUAAUACAGAGACCUCGAGCGUUAUCCGGAAUCAUUGGGCGUAAAGCGUACCGAUAGGUGGUUUAGAAAGUCAGAUGUGAAAUUCCAAGGCUCAACCUUGGGACUGUCAUUUGAAACUUCUAAACUAGAGGGGCAAAGAGGAAGCUGGAACGAACGGUGUAGUAGUGAAAUGCGUUGAUAUCGUUCGGAACACCAAUAGCGAAGGCGGGCUUCUGGGUGCCACCUGACACUGCUAGGACGAAAGCGUGGGGAGCGAAUGGGAUUAGAUACCCCAGUAGUCCACGCUGUAAACGAUGUACAUUAGGUGCUAGAGAGUAUCGACCCUCUUUAGUACCAUAGCUAACGCGUUAAAUGUACCGCCUGGGGAGUACGGCC